UUAUUCAGUUUUCUUUUACAAAUUUGGUCCUAGUCAUUGCCAAUUAUCAACAGGAUCAAACUAAACACUUGCUGCAGACGUGUUGCAACAACAGAUUAAUGCUUAAACUAUAAAUCAUUUAUUUCAAUUAAACAUUCUCCAACUAGAAUCAGCACAGCAGGGAAGUCAGUAAAUCAGUCUGCAUUGAUGUAUAAAUGAAUGCGGGUGAUUCUUACAGUAUCUGCUGUUUAUACUGUAUGAGAAGCUUCUCCUUCAGCCUCUGAGAAGUGUAAAGAUUAAAGAUUAACACCAAAUCACUUAAACGUGGGUUUAAUUAACCUACAUCAGUCUGAUGGGAGGCGUCCAUGUUUGUUUGGCUUCCGGGCACAAACAUAUUAUUAAGUAUUAUUAAGUUGAGCAUAACAGUAAACGCUCUUUAUAAGUCGGAAAAGUUACAAUAACUCUGAUAUGACUUAAUCUACUCUGAUGAGAGAAGAGGACGAUUUAUUGGAAUAAAGCUGAACUUUUAAUCAAUGGAAACUGCCCAAAGGGUACAAAAAAUAGCCCAAAUUAUCACAACCCGUCCAAAACUAAUUUUACCACCGACUUAAUUAAAAAGUCCAAUUUGAACUGUGACUGAACUGAAUUUGGUUAAACUGAGCUCUGAUCUCCUUGACAACAGCCUCCACUGCAGCUUUUCACUGUACAUGAGAGUGAACACGUGUGUGAUUGUGAAAUACAAAUGAAUUCUGACAUCCUGGUUGGCAAAAUACACAAAUUUACUAGACUCAGACUCUAAAGCGGCCAGUAUACUCUAUUAGAAGUGCUCAUUGGAUGGUCAAGUAGCUUCAGAAAGCCCCUCCCCCACCACCUGUCCAGUAUAUAGUCACUUUGCGCAGUGAUUGGUUGAUUGAUUGAUGAGAGAGGAGCUCUUUUAGCUGCUUUAGGGAGGAGGGGCGGGAGAAUUAAAUACAAUUAUUUGUAAAUAAUUUCAGGUCUUUCACCAUGUGGUUUUGCAGACGAUACUAUGUCUUAAUAUCAAGAUAAAUACUGAUGCCUUGAUACAUAAAAUAAUAAUAUAUACAUAUCCUGGGAUGUCUGACGUGGUCGUACACUCUCGUUCUAAUAAAUCAACUCUAACUCUCUCUUUCUCACAAGCAAAGAGCUGAAAAACUUAAUACUUGAAAGGUACAAUAUGCAACUUCUGGAAAUCAAGCUAGCUGUAGCAUGAGACUCCUACGAAAGCGUCAAAACAGCCUCUGUAUUGAUUUUUCUCCGGGGCUGGAAGUAACGGAGCUCUUCUGUUGGGAUUUUUACAGCGUUCACAAAACAUCAUCCUCACAGACAGUUAUUGAAAACCUGGACCUGGACAGCUAUCGCCAAGUCCUGCAGACCUGCCUGACCCAUGACCCCAGCCUCAUUUUUGAUGUCCUCGCCAUCAGAGAGGGAGACUGACAGGCAUCUAAUCCUCUUACCAUCCCAGCACAACCCCAGUAGUGGAUCUGCCAGAGGUGUAGGAGGAGGCCAACGGGCACUGAGUGCAAAUGUUGUUGACAGCAGCCUCAAUCCUGCAUUCCUCCUCCGCCUCACACGGAUACCGUCGUCCUGCAGGAGAGAGUCUUACCUUUGGCCAGGAGGUGAUGAAAAAUGACAUUUAUUCAUGAUUGUCUGAAUCUGGGAGAGGUAUGCUGCAUACAGACAGUUUGUCCUGUGGCAGUAUGGUUACAUGGGUCAGGGUUGUGAUACCAUCCUGCUGUGUGAAGAGGAUCAGAGACAAAUACCCAGAUCCCCAAACCGCGGACUCAUUCCCAGGAGUGUGUAACUAUCUACGGAACACCAUAUUGUCUCAUUAUGUAAACAGCUUGGAGAACAUUUGUCUUUGUAUUUAUUCGUAAUUUUGGCUAAUUUGUUUUCACUUUGAUUUGCGCUACAUUCUAAUAAAAUAUUGCAUCUG